rnacentral:ncRNA from 1 species
AAUAAGGGAGCUGCAAUAGCGGCUGAGAGGAAGCGGAACGCUUCGACCUUUUGACCUGAUUUGGGUAAUGCCAACGGAGGGAAUGUGA